AUACUCCAGACUAGUAGGUGGCGGUAAUGUAACAUUUAUUAGCUGCCAACCGCAGUUAAACCUCAUCGAAGAAGAAGAACAACGAGUAAGAAAUAAAUAGGGCUACGAUAUCACUGGGGCGGUGCUCUUCUGUCCACACACUUCAUGAAAAUGGGUUCGGAAAGGAGUUUGGACCCGAAAGGAGCUUUGGUAUCUUUACCAAAACACUCAUACUGGUUUGACUUUUGGCUGUUUGUGGUGUUUGACAUCGCAUUUUUCCUCGUUAUGUAUUUCAUAGUUCCGUAGCUAAAAUGGAGUGACUUGGAAUUCUAAACCUGAAGUGCUGCCCCCUUUAACCAUGACCCCCUGUUGGCUGAAAUGAUUGAUAUUUAAAAAGGAGUGUUUACACCAUUUGAGGUAUAUGGUUUACACGCCUCAACCAGAUUGAAAAGCAGAUUGGUGAUUCAAAGUUGUUUAAUUAUAUUGGUUGUCUUCCUUUGUUAGGCCUAUGUUUUGUUUUUAACUGCCCACAUUUUGUUGAUAUAUUACCAGAGCCAUAUGAUGGCGCAGUGUAUUAGUUUAAAUAAACUUUAAAUUGAAUAGUUUAACAUUCAAUAAAACAAUGACUUUGGACCAAUGUAGGUAUUAUAUGGAAUAUUUACCAGUAUUUGUCAGUAUGUCCAGAAAAGUUCAAAAUUGUGAGACCAUAACAUUUUAAUAUACCUGUUGUUGAAAUCAUGAAUCAAGACAAUGAUUUGUGGUAGUCUGACUAUUUCAAAUGUGAAACUUAACUUCAAGACAACACCUCACUCUGGAUAAAAGUGACUGCUAAAUGACUAAAUGAUGUCACAUGAACUGCAGGUUAACAUGAUGUAGCUAGUGGAACAAAGUGUACUCUCUCUAAAACGUGUAUGUCUGGUUGGACAUGAGACAAAUGAAAAAAGGUGACUUUAUUGAGCCACCUGAACACGAUGAUUGGAACAAGAUUACAGCAAUAAGGGAAAAGGGAUGAAGAGAUGUAUUCCCGGCCUCUUGAACAAAGAUCCUACUGAAACUGUAUUGGCAUAAACCGUAGAUAUGUAAUUCCAUGUUGUCUGGAAUUAAAGUGAUGUACACUGAGGUAAUAAACUUCUGUAACUACAAAUAAAUGUGUUUAUUUGUCACAUUC